rnacentral:rRNA from 1 species
AGAUUGAACGCUGGCGGCAUGCCUUACACAUGCAAGUCGAACGGCAGCACGGGAGCAAUCCUGGUGGCGAGUGGCGAACGGGUGAGUAAUACAUCGGAACGUGCCCAAUCGUGGGGGAUAACGCAGCGAAAGCUGUGCUAAUACCGCAUAAGAUCUACGGAUGAAAGCAGGGGAUCGCAAGACCUUGCGCGAAUGGAGCGGCCGAUGGCAGAUUAGGUAGUUGGUGAGGUAAAGGCUCACAAGCCUUCGAUCUGUAGCUGGUCUGAGAGGACGACCAGCCACACUGGGACUGAGACACGGCCAGACUCCGUACGGAGGCAGCAGUGGGGAACUUUUGGACAAUGGGCGAAAGCCUGAUCCGAGCCUAGUGCCGCGUGCCAGGUAUGAAAGGUCCGUUUACGGUUA